UUUGCCAGGAAGAAUGGUAAUGUGCACAUAAACUGAAUUGGGUCUCUAGGCGUGCCCUCUCUGAUGCCAUUUGGCUUUGAUUUUGGGCAUGGUUCUACAGCAAAAUA